rnacentral:rRNA from 1 species
CAGGCGUUGUUAAGUCAGAUGUGAAAGCCCGGGGCUACAACCUCGGAAUUGCUAUUGAAACUGGCAAACUAGAGUACUGUAGAGGGGGUAGAAUUUCAGGUGUAGCGGUGAAAUGCGUAGAGAUCUGAAGGAAUACCGGUGGCGAAGGCGGCCCCCUGGACAGAUACUGACACUCAGAUGCGAAAGCGUGGGGAGCAAACAGGAUUACGAGUACCCUGGUAG